rnacentral:rRNA from 1 species
AUUGAACGCUGGCGGCAGGCCUAACACAUGCAAGUCGAACGGUAACAGGAAGCAGCUUGCUGCUUUGCUGACGAGUGGCGGACGUGUGAGUAAUGUCUGUGAAACUGCCCGAUGGAGGGGGAUAACUACUGGAAACGGUAGCUAAUACCGCAUAACGUCGCAAGACCAAAGAGGGGGACCUUAGGGCCUCUUGCCAUCGGAUGUGCCCAGAUGGGAUUAGCUAGUAGGUGGGGUAACGGCUCACCUAGGCGACGAUCCCUAGCUGGUCUGAGAGGAUGACCAGCCACACUGGAACUGAGACACGGUCCAGACUCCUACGGGAGGCAGCAGUGGGGAAUAUUGCACAAUGGGCGCAAGCCUGAUGCAGCCAUGCCGCGUGUAUGAAGAAGGCCUUCGGGUUGUAAAGUACUUUCAGCGGGGAGGAAGGGAGUAAAGUUAAUACCUUUGCUCAUUGACGUUACCCGCAGAAGAGGCACCGGCUAACUCCGUG